AGAGUUUGAUCAUGGCUCAGAAUCAACGCUGGCGGCGUGCCUAACACAUGCAAGUCGAGCGAGAAAAGGGGGGCAACUCCCUGAGUACAGCGGCGCACGGGUGAGUAACACGUGGGUAAUCUGCCUUGGAGUGGGGAAUAACACCGGGAAACCGGUGCUAAUACCGCAUACGAUCACGAUGUCUGCGGACGUUGUGAUGAAAGGAGCAAUUCGCUCUAGGAGGAGCCCGCGGCUGAUUAGCUAGUUGGCGAGGUAACGGCUCACCAAGGCGACGAUCAGUAUCCGGUCUGAGAGGACGGUCGGACACACUGGAACUGAGACACGGUCCAGACUCCUACGGGAGGCAGCAGUGGGGAAUUUUUGGCAAUGGGGGCAACCCUGACCAAGCAACGCCGCGUGGGUGAUGAAGUCCCUUGGGACGUAAAACCCUUUCGACGGGGAAGAAACCGCAAGGUUGACGGUACCCGUAGAAGAAGCCCCGGCUAACUCCGUGCCAGCAGCCGCGGUAAUACGGGGGGGGCAAGCGUUGUUCGGAAUUACUGGGCGUAAAGGGUGCGUAGGCGGUGUUCUAAGUCGGAUGUGAAAACUCUGGGCUCAACCCAGAGCCUGCAUCUGAAACUGGAGUGCUAGAGUUCUGGAGGGGGUAGCGGAAUUCCUGGUGUAGCGGUGAAAUGCGUAGAUAUCAGGAGGAACACCGGUGGCGAAGGCGGCUACCUGGACAGAAACUGACGCUGAGGCACGAAAGCUAGGGGAGCAAACAGGAUUAGAUACCCUAGUAGUCC
rnacentral:rRNA from 1 species